rnacentral:rRNA from 1 species
AUUGAACGCUGGCGGCAGGCCUAACACAUGCAAGUCGAGCGAGCGGCGGACGGGUGAGUAAUGUGUGGAGCUCUGCCCGAUGGCGGGGGUAAACUACUGGAAACGGUGGCUAAUACCGCAUACUAUCGGAUGAACCCAUAUUGGAUUAGCUAGUAGGUGGGGUAAAGGCUCACCUAGGCCACGAUCUAUAGCUGAUCUGAGAGGAUGAUCAGCCACACUGGGACUGAGACACGGCCCAGACUCCUACGGGAGGCAGCAGUGGGGAAUAUUGCACAAUGGGCGAAAGCCUGAUGCAGCCAUGCCGCGUGUAUGAAGAAGGCCUUAGGGUCGUAAAGUACUGUCAGCGGGGAGGCGUUACCCGCACAAGAAGCACCGGCUAACUCCGUGCCAGCAGCCGCGAUAAUUC